rnacentral:tRNA from 1 species
UGCAGUGUAGUUUAUCUUUGAACACUGGUCUUGUAAAUCAGAAGAGGCUAUAUUGCCCGCUGCAA